GAUGCACACUCUGGCCUGGAGUGCCAUCUGGUGGAAGCUGGAGGACAUGCGGGAUCAGAUCCCAAAGGGUACUACAUCCGGUACUGCCGGAGGGGAGCCCCAGCAAACCUGCAUCCUUAUCAGUGGAGGUGGAUGGCUUCUGGUCUCUUGGUUGCUGCCUGUUAUGGCUCCUCUGGGCACAACAUUGUGAAGCUUCAGCUAAGGUAAGGAGAUCAGAAGCAAUCAGAACACCAUGCUCUCCUGCCUCUAGGUCCCCAGUCUCUUCAAUGUGAGUUAAUAGCAGGCAGAACAUGCUCUGCAUGAUUAAAGUGUGGGAUUCCACCAGCAAAAUCUGUAUAUCAUGUCAUAUUUUAUAUUACAUUACAUUAUAUAUAUUAUGAGUGCUUUUGGAAAAGGAAUAUCAAUUGUUUAUGUAUCAACUUGUCAUCCCAAGGACUUCUCAUACCAAAA